CGUUCGGUAGAUUACUCCUUUCUGCUCGUGGACGCCGCCGAGUAAGCAUCCUUGACUUCUCCCCCCACCCUCCACUGCCGUCAUGGCUAAGUCAGAGUCACCCAAAGAGCCCGAACAGCUGCGGAAGCUCUUCAUCGGAGGUUUGAGCUUUGAAACAACCGAUGAGAGUCUGAGGAGCCAUUUUGAGCAGUGGGGAACGCUUGCAGAUUGUGUGGUAAUGAGGGAUCCAAACACCAAACGCUCCAGAGGCUUCGGGUUUGUCACAUAUGCCACUGUGGAGGAGGUGGAUGUGGCCAUGAAUGCAAGGCCACACAAGGUGGAUGGAAGAGUUGUGGAACCAGAGAGGGCCGUCUCAAGAGAAGAUUCUCAAAGACCUGGUGCCCACUUAACUGUGAAAAAGAUUUUUGUUGGUGGCAUUAAAGAAGACACUGAAGAACAUCAUCUAAGAGAUUAUUUUGAACAGUAUGGGAAAAUUGAAGUGAUUGAAAUCAUGACUGACCGAGGCAGUGGCAAAAAGAGGCUUUGCUUUUGUAACCUUUGAUGACCAUGACUCUGUAGACAAGAUUGUCACUCAGAAAUACCACACUGUGAAUGGCCACAACUGUGAAGUAAGGAAAGCCCUAUCUAAGCAAGAGAUGGCUAGUGCCUCAUCCAGCCAAAGAGGUCGAAGUGGUUCUGGAAACUUUGGUGGUGGUCGUGGAGGUGGUUUUGGUGGGAAUGACAACUUUGGUCGUGGAGGAAACUUCAGUGGUCGAGGUGGCUUUGGUGGCAGCCGCGGUGGUGGAGGAUAUGGUGGCAGUGGGGAUGGCUAUAAUGGAUUUGGUAAUGAUGGUGGUUCUGGAGGAGGCAGCCCUGGUUACUCUGGAGGAAGCAGAGGCUAUGGAAGUGGUGGACAGGGUUAUGGAAACCAGGGCAGUGGCUAUGGCGGGAGUGACAGCUAUAACAACGGAGGAGGCGGAGGUGGCUUUGGCAGUGGUAGUGGAAGCAAUUUUGGAGGUGGUGGAAGCUACAAUGAUUUUGGCAGUUACAACAAUCAGUCUUCAAAUUUUGGACCCAUGAAAGGAGGAAACUUUGGAGGCAGAAGUUCUGGCCCCUAUGGUGGUGGAGGCCAAUACUUUGCCAAACCCCGAAACCAAGGUGGCUAUGGUGGUUCCAGCAGCAGCAGUAGCUAUGGCAGUGGCAGAAGGUUUUGAUUACUGCCAGGAAACAAAGCUUAGCAGGAGAGGAGAGCCAGAGAAGUGACAGGGAAGCUACAGGUUACAACAGAUUUGUGAACUCAGCCAAGCACAGUGGUGGCAGGGCCUAGCUGCUACAAAGAAGACAUGUUUUAGACAAUACUCAUGUGUAUGGGC